CUUCACGGGAGGCCUCGCUGGGGUCUUCCGCGGCCGCUCGCCCCGCCCGGGGGCGCCGCGCUGAGGUGCGGGGGCGCGCGGCUGUCCGGGGCCGCCCUCCUGCCUGCUCCCCGGGCCGCGUGCCGCCGGGGCCGAGGGGACGAGCCCCGGGAGCGUGGCUCCUGCUCGCAGGCGCGUGCUGACCUGGCGUCUCUGCGAUUCUGCGUUUGUCUCGAUACAGAAGUUAAACAUCCUGCCCAACAUCUGCAGGCCUUUGUCGUGAAAUCUCCUCGUCUUUGUCGUGGGCUUGUCUUGUUCGCGUUCCUUACGUGUGUGUGAGCGCUCAGCCUCCUGGCGGGUGAUCUCAGGAGAUAGGUACUGUUAUCUUCAGUGUGGAGGAGGGGAAGCGGAUGCAGAAGGGGUCAGUAACUCGACCAAAGUCAGACAGCUAGAUCACCCCUUCUGUGUCAUUCUUUGAGGAAAACGAGUUCUUCUCAAGGAGGAAAGUCUGAACCUGUCAAGCAAUCCCUUAAGAAGCCCAAGUUACCAGAAGGUCGUUUUGAUGCACCAGAAGAUUCCCAUUUAGAGAAAGAACCACUGACAAAAUUUCCAGAUGAUGUUAAUCCUGUUACCAAAGAAAAAGGUGGACCCAGGGGCCCGGAACCUACCCGCUAUGGAGAUUGGGAACGAAAAGGACGCUGCAUUGAUUUUUAAGCCAUGUAUUCUUUACCUUCACUAUCUGUUUCUGAAUAUGCACAUCUGAAUUAACUGAUUACUUUAUUUUUGUAUAUCCUUUAAGUCAUCUAAUUUCUAUAAUGUGUUUAAAAAUAUAUAUGAUGGCUUUGGAAGAAAAUAUGCUGCUAUAAAUUAGGAAAGGGAAAAUAUACAUUAGCACAUUAAUUUAAAUGUAUUGAGGUAUAUAAGUGAUGAGAAAAGCAAACUUUUCCUUCAUAUUUCAGUUAAAUCAGUUGCUUAUAAAAUGCAAAUGUGAAUAAAAUAAGUUUUUUAUUGAUUGCAUUGCCAUGUGCUAGGUAAUAGUGGCUUUUUAAAUGCGGAUUGAGUGGUGCAUUAUAGUUUGAGGAGACGACAGUAACAUCAGAAAGUCUUUAACUUGGAGCCAGAUGACUUGCGUCCAAAUCCUGGCUGUACUGCUUACUAGCUGUGUUACCUUGGAUAGGUUAUUUAUCUUCUCUGUUCUUCACUAUCUUUAUGUGUAAAUUGGAGAUGAUGCUCAUUCCACCUGAUAGGGCAGUUGAGACGAUUAAAUGAGUAAAUACCUGUGAACCGCUUGGAGCAGUGCAUAGCACAUACUUCUCAGUAAGUGGUAGCUAGCUUUAAACCAUAAAUGUAUUUAUCCAAGUCUCCACACUUCCUGGGGGAAAAGAUUAAGAAACUGAAAUUUGAAAUACUAAAAUUGAAAUUGUCUUAUAUGAAUAUAAUGUUAAAAAUCUUUAGUUGGAAAGUUAGUGAUUAUAUGCAUGAGUGAACUGAGGUGAAAUAGACAUUAGUUUGUGAAACAUGAAAUUCAGGUACAGAGGGCAAAUAGGAGAAAAGCAGCGAUGGAAUGGACCAGCUCAGUCAGUUUUGAUUGACUCAGAAGCUCCUACCGUGUGUCCUUCGGACAACUGGGUCAGAAAAAGUCAAGUCCAGUUGACAGAUGUGGAAUGAAGGAAGGAUGGAAACUACUGGGCUCCCCAAGGCGUCUUUCGCUGUCCUGUGGCCUCAGUCACAAAGACCGAGCCUUCAGCCCCCAGGACACUAAAAUUACUUAGAGAGGGUUUGCAAAGCCCGUAGAAGAAAGAAUGCAGUGGGCUGAUACUAUGUGAUGUGAACUGUAGGUGCAGUAUUAUUUGAGAAGAUUGUACGGAGACUUAUUUAAGAGAAGAAGCUUUUUAAAAAAGUGUAUUUUCCCCAGAUACACACAAAAGAGUAUGGUAAUUGGGACUAGUCAUUCAGUCUUGAUCCCAGUUGUCUCUCAGUCAACAUGUGUUCUUUUAAUUGCAGUUACUGUGUGUGCUGCUAAGUAAUAACCACAUUCCUUUAGAAAUACUCUAUAAUUUAGUCAGCCUUCAAUUGCCCAAAUUAUUGAAGAUUUUUAGUAAGUUAACAGUCCAGAAAUAUUGUGUUAUUUUGUACUGUAUAGCUUUGCUUGUGUUCCACAUUGAUCAUCAUGAUAUGUGAUAAGGACAACUUACAUAUUUCAGAAGCUAACAUAAAAUAUAUAAUAACUGAAGUGUUGUGUUAAGAUAAUAGAAUCUUUAACCUCUGUCAAUAGUAACGUGAUUCAUGACAGCUAUCAAAUAUAUAGGUAAAAGUUGGUGGAAUGAAAACAUACUUGGUCUUAUGUCCAUCAAAACCCUGAAGACUUAGAAAAGAUGAUACGGCAGCAAUGGAACGCGUAACUCAGAUCUGCAGGAAGUAGAGUUGACGGAGACGCAGCUGCUGCCCCGUGGGAUCCACCACCAUGUUCCUGCCGAGGCCACACUUCCCCAGGCUGUUCCUAGCCAAUGAGUGGGUAUGACGGGGCUGCAGUGAAGCAGUCUGAUGGCCCACUCCCCUGCUGGACGACCUUGGCUCAAGGACUCCUCAUUAGCCUGCCCGGAGUUUUCUUAGGACUGUGCUGCUGUCCGAGGCUCUUCCUGCCCAGUCCUCCUCUCCUUCCCUCUCCCUUCACAGGGGUCAGGCUCUGCCUGCUCCUCCCCUCUGGGAUUCACAAAUGUCUCCCCAGUCCUCCUCUCCUUCCCUCUCCCUUCACAGGGGUCAGGCUCUGCCUGCUCCUCCCCUCUGGGAUUCACAAAUGUCUCCCCAGUCCUCCUCUCCUUCCCUCUCCCUUCACAGGGGUCAGGCUCUGCCUGCUCCUCCCCUCUGGGAUUCACAAAUGUCUCCCCAGUCCUCCUCUCCUUCCCUCUCCCUUCACAGGGGUCAGGCUCUGCCUGCUCCUCCCCUCUGGGAUUCACAAAUGUCUCCCCAGUCCUCCUCUCCUUCCCUCUCCCUUCACAGGGGUCAGGCUCUGCCUGCUCCUCCCCUCUGUAGUUCACAGAUGUCUCCCCAGUAAAUCUUUUCUACAUUUAAUCCCAUCUUAGCAUUUGUUUCUCAGAACUGAAACUAAUAUGGAUAGUUUUAAAAAGAACAACUUAUAGAUAAAUUGUCAGAAAAUGUCACACAAAACUUGUGGGUUUUUCUAGUGUAAUCAUAGUUUAAAUAGUUUAAUUUUCCAUUGCUUGGGGAUUUCUGGGAAAUUAUAGGUUGAGCUUUUAUGUACAAGGCUCGCACCAUGGAACCUUGUUCAUAUUAGGCAUUUUGCUGGAAUUGAAUUAUGCUCAGCAUUUUUUCCUUGCUUUGGUGUCAGUUGCUAUGACCUACCAUGAGUCAAAAUAUAACAUUACAUAUUAUUAAACUUGUAAGAACAAACCUAAGCCACGUUCUGCUAGUAAAUAACACAUGUUCUUUCGAUGAAUAGAAUGGUUUAUAAUGAACAGACUUGGUAAUAGUAAUAAUUAAUGAUAUAUCAGCAAUUUUAAAGAUAAUUUCAGAACAGAACAGUAGUUUUUAUAAGUAUAGGAUAAGAAUGGCUGCAGGCUGUUAGUCAGCCAACACUUAUUGAUCAGUUAGAAGGAAAGUAAAAUGAAGAGCGCCUGGCAGGUUUGUUCAUGCAUUCAGUUGAUUCUUUCAUUUAAUCAGUGAUUAUUUGUCUGCUACGUGCCAGGUGUUCUGCUAGGCUUUGGGUGUUUGGUGUUGGAUUAAAGCAAACCCUUGCCAUCCUGGCAUAAAGUCUGGUGGGUUUGAUUUGCACGUGAGAACAGUUCCAAAGGACAGCCGACUGAAGCCUAAAUGCAUUGCAAGGGACUGUCCUUUGCCUCAACCAACCAAAGGGGCCUUCCUAAGUUUGAUGAGACUGUCACUUUCUGGGUUUUUGAUACUAGAGGACUCUUCAGAGACCUGUGUUUUCACCUUUUUAAAUCUAAACUGACCUUGUGUGGGCCAGGCCCAGUGGCCUAGUGGUUAAGGUCAGUGUCCUCCACUUUGGUGGCCCAGGUUCAGUUCCCAGGUGUGGACCUACACCACUCACCUAUCAGUGACCAUGCUGUGGUGGCGAGCCACAUACGAAAUAGAGGAAGACUGGCAACAGGUGGUAGCUCAGGGUGAAUCUUUCUCAGCAGAAAAUAAACUGACUCUGAGAUAUUUAUUAAUCAAGUUAAAUACUCAUUCUGUGAUCAUACGUGUUCUGACCUUGCCAUAGAUCAGCCUCCCUAGACAUUGACUAAGAAGAUGUGGAGUAAGCAGAGUGAUAUAAUUAAGGUUGCUCAAGCCAUUCCUGGCCCGAGAAGAACAUUUUUGGUGCAUCCCUCUGCACGAACACUGGAGCUAAAGCUGCCCCUGAUUUGCCUGAGCCGGGCCUGGCUGCUAUGAAUGAAUUAUAAAGGUUGGUGUGUAAUCCAUGCAUAUGAGGGUGUGUGUGGAUAUUGAAGGAUAUUUAUGAUUGGUAAGUACUCUGUGUCAGUUCUUUGUGGGCACCUUGUUCUGACUCUUCCCCUUAGAUCUUUCACUGUAGAAAUAGGUGCCUCAUUUUCUCACCCUGCUGACUCGGCCUGAGGCCUAAUGUGCUGCUUUUGCGUCUCCCUCUCUUUCUUUUCCUUCUCCUUAGGGCAGGCAAUUCCAAAUAUUUUCUCUAAACCAAUUUCCCUCUUCUAAUCACCCAAAUCUGGGUGGGGAAUUAAAGGAAAAUGUAGCCUUCUCUGUUACUCAAGGUUUUUAAAUAAAGAUGACAGAAUCUACCCUAUUUCAGUGGCUAUUAAACUUUUUGGUCUCGGGGCCCUUUUAUACUCAAUAUCUUUUGGGGUCCCUAAAUUGUUUAGGACACCAAAGAAGUUUUGUUUGUGUGUGUUAUGUGUGUCAAUACCUAUUAUAUUAGAAUUGAAAACUGAG
ensembl:lncRNA